rnacentral:rRNA from 1 species
UACGUAGGGAGCGAGCGUUAUCCGGAUUUAUUGGGCGUAAAGGGUGCGUAGGCGGCUUGUUAAGUAUGAAAUUAAAGCCCGGGGCUUAACUCCGGUUCGUUUCAUAAACUGGCAAGCUUGAGUAUGGAAGAGGUAAACGGAAUUUCUAGUGUAGCGGUGGAAUGCGUAGAUAUUAGAAGGAACACCAGUGGCGAAGGCGGUUUACUGGGCCAUUACUGACGCUGAGGCACGAAAGCGUGGGGAGCAAAUAGG